rnacentral:rRNA from 1 species
GGGAACGUGAGCUGGGUUUAGACCGUCGUGAGACAGGUUAGUUUUAUCCUACUGUGAGUGGUCGUCCCGAUGGUAGGAUCGUUUAGUACGACAGGAACGACGAUUCAUUGCCUAUCGCAAUGGAGUCGGUCGAGAGACCGAUGCUCCGAAGCGACGCAAUUCGGAUAAGGACUGAUGGCCUCUAAAGUUCGAAGCCGUGCCAAGU